rnacentral:rRNA from 1 species
GCCUAGCCACAACACACAAUCAAACUACAAAUUGUUCGCCAAACAACUACGAGUAAUACUUAAAACUUAAAAGACUUGACGGUGCUUCACCCCGACCUAGAGGAGCCUGUCUAAUAACCGAUAACCCACGAUUAACCCAACCACUUCUUGCCCUACAGUCUAUAUACCGCCGUCGCCAGCUUACCUUGUAAAAGAAAUAAAGUGGGCUAAAUAGUAACACACUAAAACGACAGGUCGAGGUGUAACCCAUGAAGAGGCUAAGAUGGGCUACAUUCUCUAACAGAGAAUACGAACAGCACUAUGAAAUUAGUGUUCGAAGGCGGAUUUAGCAGUAAGAUAAGAAUAGAACACCUAACUGAAAAUAACGCAAUGAAGUGCGCACACACCGCCCGUCACCCCUGCCAUCACAAUAUUAAGCAUCAAUAAACUAACCAAAUAAACCAACCAGGGCAAGUCGUAACAUGGUAGGUGUACUGGAAAGUGUACCUAGAAA